UACGUAGGGUGCGAGCGUUGUCCGGAAUUACUGGGCGUAAAGAGCUCGUAGGUGGUUUGUCGCGUUGUCCGUGAAAACUCACAGCUUAACUGUGGGCGUGCGGGCGAUACGGGCAGACUGGAGUACUGCAGGGGAGACUGGAAUUCCUGGUGUAGCGGUGGAAUGCGCAGAUAUCAGGAGGAACACCGGUGGCGAAGGCGGGUCUCUGGGGCAGUAACUGACGCUGAGGAGCGAAAGCGUGGGGAGCGAACAGG
rnacentral:rRNA from 1 species